ensembl:Mt_tRNA
GUAGACAUAGUUUAAACUAAAAUACUAGAUUGUGAUUCCAGAGAAAGAGGUUAAAAUCCCCUUGUCCACC